rnacentral:snRNA from 1 species
CGCGUCGCGAUAGUAAUU